rnacentral:sRNA from 1 species
UGUAUCUUCUAACAAGAAAACACUAAUUAGGCUUUUAAGAUCUCAUUUCGAUUCUAGUUUUUAUACUCAAUCAUACAGAUGACACAAGUCAUAUUUGACUCCAAAUCAUGAACCAAGCCUCUUCUUGUUGUUCAAAGCUUUGAUUUUGUAGCAAAGUCCGUAUGAUUCUUUGGCUUUGUAUCUACAAACAAGGAAACACUACUUAGGCUUUUUAGAUCCGCUUGCGGUUCUAGUUCUUAUACUCAAUCAUACGCAUGCAAUCUAGUCAUAUUUGACUCCAAAAG